CCUAUUUCUGCUGCUCAAGCAUCCUCCAAUGUAUGCAUUUCUUCUAAGAAGACCAACUUCCUCUUUCUUCACAAUAAAGGCCAUAACAGACACUUGCGAUUGUACUAACUACUUAAAAAUACUUUUCUGUGGGAGACAAUAAAAAGCAAAUUCUUUCAUCAGCAUCUCCCUCUUCCUGGUCUAACUUCCUCCUUCUUCCAGAGACACCUCCCAAGAGGAAUCCCCUGGGCUCGAGGAACUUCCGGAAGCACAUUCACCAGCCUGAGGCUGCGGGGCGGGAGGUCACAGCUUAGCCUGCCUCACAAACACUCUCACUUCCCACUUCCUCUGGUUCUGUCACCUCCCUGAGCUUGGGAAUGAGACAUUUAAAUCACCACAGCCCACUCAGAGAUGCUGCAGCUGCCAAUUAGACCUCUUCUCGGGAUUUGUGUUUAGGAAAGGGCCCCAGUUGUUUGGCUCUCUCCAGAAAAUGACUUAUGAAGAUGCCUUUGGAUCAUGUGACUCCUGGUUAAAAAAAUAAACAGCCCAAUUGUUGACACCUGACCUGCAACUGAGACAGAAGCCUUUACCACAUGGGGUGAGAUACAGAUUUCUCAAGAAAUGUCACUUGCUUUGUUUUUCUUAGCCUGGAAAGCCAAUUUGCAUGUUUUGUAUAAAGCUGAAUCUGAACCGGUGAGCCCUGUGGUAUCAAUAAUCUGAACUGUUCAAAAGUUGCUUUUUUGCAGAGCAAGAAUAAAUGACAAGGGCUUUGGAAAUGAGAGGGUUCAGAGCCAUUCUGUAUCCUGUGCUGUCCUUGGCUGCUGGAUUGCUGACCUGGGGCUUUUACCUGGUGGUCUGAUGAGUCAUGACAUUCAUAAAAGAGAAGAUAGCAGAGAUACUUGGAAGCUUCCUCCAGUCUGCUCCUUGGGUCUUCUGCUUACCAACUGUGCAACGCUGGGCAACAUGAGACUCCGUGCCUCAGACUGCUAAGACUCAAAAUGAGGGCGAAAGGCUGCUCUGCUCACCUCAGAAGUUUGUCUCAAUUUUCUAUAACAGAAAAUGUGCUAGCAUAGAUUUGGCCUAAUUAUAGCAUUUCCAUAAAUAAGUGAGGAGAGAGGAGAAAUGAUGGUUCUGAGGCCAUCUGUCAUGAAUUGACUAAUGUAACCCCUUGAGAACCUAGAAUUAUACUUGGACUCAUCAUUGAGGCAGUCACUCUGUGCUUUCAAAUGAAAAAUUAAAACCAUAGAAUAAGAGAGAAGGCUUCCCUUAUCAAAACCC
rnacentral:lncRNA from 1 species